GAUCAUGGCUCAGGAUGAACGCUGGCGGCGUGCUUAACACAUGCAAGUCGAACGAAGCAUUUGAGAUUGAUUCUUCGGAUGAUUUCUCUUAUGACUUAGUGGCGGACGGGUGAGUAACGCGUGGGUAACCUGCCUCACACAGGGGGGUAACAGUUGGAAACGACCGCUAAUACCGCAUAACCCGCUAGGGCCGCAUGGCCCCGGACGGAAAAAGAUUUAUCGGUGUGAGAUGGACCCGCGUUGGAUUAG
rnacentral:rRNA from 1 species